GGACAGAUGGCCGAGUGGUCUAAGGCGCCGUCUUAAGGAAGUUCCCGCAGGUUGUGCGGUUAGUCCGGCGGUCUUCGGGCGUGGGUUCGAAUCCCACUCUGUUCA